rnacentral:misc_RNA from 1 species
UUGAGUCCCUGAUCGGAAGACUGCGAACUUGUAAACGGAUGACCCGGGGUGAUUGGGGCUGUGGCCCCUUCCACCCCGGGGCCUCGCCUCCUCGGCCGAGGUGUCGCCUCGGACGCGGUAGGCGGGGGACCGACCAAAACCCGGCGCGGCCAGCGUCAAGGAUCAUAUAAUUGGAGUAGAGUGUGUCGCGGCCCUUGCGGCUGCCGGCGCAACCUAAGAAUCUUUAAGACUCUCGGCAACGGAUAUCUCGGCUCUUACAUCGAUGAAGAACGUAGCGAAAUGCGAUACUUGGUGUGAAUUGCAGAAUCCCGUGAACCAUCGAGUCUUUGAACGCAAGUUGCGCCCGAGGCCUUUGGGUCGAGGGCACGCCUGCCUGGGCGUCACGCCUAGCAUCGAACCGCAUCAACUGCCCUCCUGGGCGGGGUGCGGCUUCGGAGAUUGGCCUCUCGUGCACUCAAGUGCGGUGGGCUUAAGAGAGGGUUGUCGGCCGGGUCGGCACGACGAUUGGCGGACUUGGUGCCAGCAGGAUGUCGUGUCCCCGGUCUUCGAAGAGCCCAGGACACCCGGAUUGGGCGUGCAGAUGCGCUUCCACUCGGGAGGGCGUGCCGCCUCGCAAC